rnacentral:rRNA from 1 species
GAUGAACUCUAGCUACAGGCUUAACACAUGCAAGUCGAGGGGCAGCAUUUUAGUUUGCUUGCAAACUAAAGAUGGCGACCGGCGCACGGGUGAGUAACACGUAUCCAACCUGCCGAUAACUCGGGGAUAGCCUUUCGAAAGAAAGAUUAAUAUCCGAUGGUAUAUUAAAACUGCAUGGUUUUACUAUUAAAGAAUUUCGGUUAUCGAUGGGGAUGCGUUCCAUUAGUUUGUUGGCGGGGUAACGGCCCACCAAGACAACGAUGGAUAGGGGUUCUGAGAGGAAGGUCCCCCACAUUGGAACUGAGACACGGUCCAAACUCCUACGGGAGGCAGCAGUGAGGAAUAUUGGUCAAUGGACGAGAGUCUGAACCAGCCAAGUAGCGUGAAGGAUGACUGCCCUAUGGGUUGUAAACUUCUUUUAUAUGGGAAUAAAGUAUUCCACGUGUGGGAUUUUGUAUGUACCAUAUGAAUAAGGAUCGGCUAACUCCGUGCCAGCAGCCGCGGUAAUACGGAGGAUCCGAGCGUUAUCCGGAUUUAUUGGGUUUAAAGGGAGCGUAGGUGGAUUGUUAAGUCAGUUGUGAAAGUUUGCGGCUCAACCGUAAAAUUGCAGUUGAAACUGGCAGUCUUGAGUACAGUAGAGGUGGGCGGAAUUCGUGGUGUAGCGGUGAAAUGCUUAGAUAUCACGAAGAACUCCGAUUGCGAAGGCAGCUCACUAGACUGCAACUGACACUGAUGCUCGAAAGUGUGGGUAUCAAACAGGAUUAGAUACCCUGGUAGUCCACACAGUAAACGAUGAAUACUCGCUGUUUGCGAUAUACAGUAAGCGGCCAAGCGAAAGCAUUAAGUAUUCCACCUGGGGAGUACGCCGGCAACGGUGAAACUCAAAGGAAUUGACGGGGGCCCGCACAAGCGGAGGAACAUGUGGUUUAAUUCGAUGAUACGCGAGGAACCUUACCCGGGCUUAAAUUGCAUUUGAAUAAUCUGGAAACAGGUUAGCCGCAAGGCAAAUGUGAAGGUGCUGCAUGGUUGUCGUCAGCUCGUGCCGUGAGGUGUCGGCUUAAGUGCCAUAACGAGCGCAACCCUUAUCUUUAGUUACUAACAGGUUAUGCUGAGGACUCUAGAGAGACUGCCGUCGUAAGAUGUGAGGAAGGUGGGGAUGACGUCAAAUCAGCACGGCCCUUACGUCCGGGGCUACACACGUGUUACAAUGGGGGGUACAGAAGGCAGCUACCUGGCGACAGGAUGCUAAUCCCAAAAACCUCUCUCAGUUCGGAUCGAAGUCUGCAACCCGACUUCGUGAAGCUGGAUUCGCUAGUAAUCGCGCAUCAGCCAUGGCGCGGUGAAUACGUUCCCGGGCCU